AGAAAGCAGAGGUAGACAGACGCCAUGACUCUCCUCUCUGAGACAGCCGCAGAUCUUAACAAACACAAAACGCAUGGCUCUAAGUGGAUCAGAUGGUGACAACACUAGACACCCCAGUCAGAAAAAAAUGACCUAAGUGGAAGAAGAGCUAAAGACUUUUGACCCACUGAGUGGCUGGCAAGAGGAGUUCCAGAGGAAAGGCUGGGAGCAGAAGCCUGACAGCCACAGGCUGGAAACGGACCUGUGGAUGGAGAAGUGGAUGAGUACCACUUAUACAGAUAGUCAGCAAAGAUAGGAACAGUGGCUGCUGAGGGUGGAGUUGACAAACGUUUAUUUGUUUAUUUAACUGUGGUAGAGAAUGUGUGGGGAAAUGGCCCAGGUGGUAGAACAUUUGUCUAGUAUUCCUGCAGUCCUGGACUUGAUCCUUGGAACUGUGUAAACUUGGUAAUCCCAGCACUCACAAAGUGGAGGCAAGGGGGACAGAGACGAAAAGAUCAUCCUCAGCUACAUUUCAAGUUUGAACCUCCUUGGUAUACAAAAAUUAAAAGAAAAGAAAAAAUUUUAAACACACAAAAUUAAUAAGCAACAAAAAUGAAUAAAAUUUA